AAGAAAGUAAGAAAGGGCGUAUGGCGGAUGCCUAGGCUCACGGAGGCGAUGAAGGACGUGAUAAGCUGCGAUAAGCUUCGGGUAGGUGCAAAUAACCCUUGAUCCGGAGAUUUCCGAAUGGGACAACCUAGCCGUCUGAAGGACGGUUACUCAAUCUUCAAGGUUGAGAGCUAACGCAGGGAACUGAAACAUCUUAGUACCUGCAGGAAGAGAAAAUAAAUGAAUGAUUCCCCCAGUAGUGGCGAGCGAACGGGGAACAGCCCAAACCAGUGGCGUCGCAAGGCGUGGCUGGGGUUGUAGGACCGCGACAUUGUAUGCAAAUCGUGAACAGAACACUUUGGAAAAUGUGACCAUAGACGGUGAUAGUCCAGUAUGUGAAGCGAAAUGCAGCAUAGCGGUAUCCUGAGUAACGCGGGA
rnacentral:rRNA from 1 species